rnacentral:rRNA from 1 species
GACGAACGCUGGCGGCGUGCUUAACACAUGCAAGUCGAACGGAAAGGCCCUGCUUUUGUGGGGUGCUCGAGUGGCGAACGGGUGAGUAACACGUGAGUAACCUGCCCUUUACUUUGUGAUAACUUCAGGAAACUGGUGCUAAUACCUGAUAGGAGCUCCUGCUGCAUGGUGGGGGUUGGAAAGUUUCGGCGGUUGUGGAUGGACUCGCGGCUUAUCAGCUUGUUGGUGGGGUAGUGGCUUACCAAGGCUUUGACGGGUAGCCGGCCUGAGAGGGUGACCGGCCACAUUGGGACUGAGAUACGGCCCAGACUCCUACGGGAGGCAGAAGGGGGGAAUAUUGCACAAUGGGCGGAAGCCUGAUGCAGCAACGCCGCGUGCGGGAUGACGGCCUUCGGGGUGUAAACCGCUUUCGCCUGUGACGAAGCGUGAGUGACGGUAAUGGGUAAAGAAGCACCGGCUAACUACGUG